rnacentral:rRNA from 1 species
UACGGAGGGAGCUAGCGUUGUUCGGAAUUACUGGGCGUAAAGCGCGCGUAGGCGGCUUUGUAAGUUAGAGGUGAAAGCCCGGAGCUCAACUCCGGAACUGCCUUUAAGACUGCAUCGCUUGAAUCCGGGAGAGGUGAGUGGAAUUCCGAGUGUAGAGGUGAAAUUCGUAGAUAUUCGGAAGAACACCAGUGGCGAAGGCGGACUUACUGGACCGAUUGUGACGCUGAGGGUGCGAAAGCGUGGGGAGC